GCCCGCUGCAGCGUUCACAACA
rnacentral:miRNA from 8 species